UUGCAUCAGUUUUAUGGAGCAUCUGAGGCUGGGUGCCCUGAGUGGCUUCUGCAGAUUGAAUUUACUGAAAGUGCCUCACGUUGUACCCCGGCUUGAGCACCCAGUCUACGGUCCACGGAGAGGUUGCCUGCUGGAGAAGAGAGGUCUGGAAAUACAAGUGAAUGAAACAAAGAAAGAGCAGUGGGAAAACAGAAGAACAUGAAAGUUGUGACAGUCUUCAGCUUUCAGAGGGCUCCUAUUUACUCCUUUAUAUGCUUUACUGGAAAGAUGAGUAGCUUGCGGUUUCCAGAGAGAGUCAGCAGGCUGUGGGAAAUAGUAAAGGUUUGAAGUAUAAGCCAAAGGGCUGAUAAACAGCCUGUGUGAUUGACAGCUCUGCCUGCACGGGACCUACAGUGCAGAACCCUCUUGUUCUUUGUUGGAAAGGAUCAAAUCCUGACCCACUGUUUCUAAGAUAUUUUCCUGAAGUCUCUGAGGAAAGAAAGGACAAAGAGCUAUUUGGGGGAAAAAAUGGUCUGGAAAAGAAGGGGCCUGUACCAAAUGCCUUGUGAAUUAAAUAAUUUCAUCGUCAAGAGUCAGUGGAGCUGCUGGCAGAUAACUCUUCUUGACACAUUGCGUGAGAGAACAGACAUGCACUAGAAAGUUCUGUUCCUUCUGUCCCUCUGGAGCGCUCCUGGCGAUUCUGGGGGAAGGCUUCAGCAACUGUGCAGCUCUCCUCUUCCUCAGAGAGAAAACUCUGCUCCACACUGGACUCAGUUAUAGAUCUCGUUGCAUUCUUACACGAGUCAAUGGGGUUUUUUCUGUCUUUGGUGAUGAGACCAAGAUAAGCCCACAAUAACUGGAUGAAUUCCAACUGCUUGGCUAGAAAUCAGCCAGAGGCUGAAAAGUCCUGUCCCUCUGUACUUGACAGUUGGUAUAAGGCUGUUGGAUUGGUAGCUACCUCAAAAUCCCCUAGAUUCAAAUAGAUAAUAUGAAUUGAAUUAAUUGAAGGAAGUAAAUGAAGUUGAAUGAAGUAAUAAACAGGAGGGGCAGGGACAGACAUUUUGCAACUGAUGGAGGCAUAACUGAGGAUGUCCACAUGGGAUGCCACAGAUGAGGAGGCCAAUCUGACAUGUUAAUUCAUUUAAAUGCCAGUAUUCACAACAUAUAAAGGUAUGCACUGAGAGAAAAACUAGGCACUUCUCACAGUUUUUCUAUUCAGUGAAUUGAUCAUAAAGAGUUUAUUUUUUUCUAUACACAAUGGUAUUGGGGAAUAAAGUUCUAAAAACAGGGAGCAAAAAAUAUUCAGUAAGCACUUACUACACUUUAUUCCAUCAUAAACUCCAGCAGUAAAGAAAGAGGAAUAGGUAUUUUCUUUUCCCAUCUCACACACACAAUCUUGAGAAAAGAUUGUGUUGUCAAAUGUCCUUAUCAUUAGGCAUCAUAAUGGUGGGAAUUGAGCACUUCAGAAAUGAAUUUUUUAGUCUGGUCUGGUGGUCUCCAAGGAAUCCCUCACUGGAGGAUUUGUCUGUGGUUUCUUUCUGCAUAAAGGAGAAAAGAAUUUUUCUCUCUCUGCUGCAAGUUUCAA